rnacentral:tRNA from 1 species
GGGGGUGUAGUCUAGCCUGGCAGGAUUCGAGGUUCGGGACCUCGCGGCAGGAGUUCAAAUCUCCUCACCCCCA